rnacentral:misc_RNA from 1 species
UGAAUUAGUAGCUUGCUACUGUACUGGGGGAAAUGGGAAAGUCCUGGUUGAAAAGUCAGUGUACUAGUACCUGCACCCCCUAUCAUACCCUUGUCUUUUUGAGUACCUAUGUUUCCUUGGUAGGCAUGCCUGCCAAAUGGACUUUAGAUAAACCUUUUUAUUUAUAAAUCAGCGUCUGAAAAAAAUUUAAUAAUUA